rnacentral:rRNA from 1 species
CAAAAGCGUAUAUUAAAGUUGUUGCAGUUAAAAAGCUCGUAGUUGAACCUUGGGCUUGGCUGGCCGGUCCAUCUUUUUUGAUGCGUACUGGACCCAGCCGAGCCUUUCCUUCUGGCUAGCCUUUUGGCGAACCAGGACUUUUACUUUGAAAAAAUUAGAGUGUUCAAAGCAGGCCUUUGCUCGAAUAUACUAGCAUGGAAUAAUAGAAUAGGACGUUAUGGUUCUAUUUUGUUGGUUUCUAGGACCAUCGUAAUGAUUAAUAGGGACGGUCGGGGGUAUCAGUAUUCAGUUGUCAGAGGUGAAAUUCUUGGAUUUACUGAAGACUAACUACUGCGAAAGCAUUUACCAAGGACGUUUUCAUUAA